rnacentral:piRNA from 1 species
UAUGAGACAACACUUUCUCUUGGAGUCCCA